rnacentral:rRNA from 1 species
AGUGAACGCUGGCGGCAGGCCUAAUACAUGCAAGUCGAACGGCAGCACAGCAGAGCUUGCUCUGUGGGUGGCGAGUGGCGGACGGGUGAGGAAUACAUGGGAAUCUGCCCAGUCGUGGGGGAUAACGUAGGGACACUUACGCUAAUACCGCAUGCGCCCUUCGGGGAAAGCCGGGGACCUUCGGGCCUGGCGCGAUUGGA